rnacentral:rRNA from 1 species
UACGUAGGCAGCAAGCGUUGUUCGGAGUUACUGGGCGUAAAGGGUGCGUAGGUGGCUCUAUAAGUAUGGUGUGAAAUCUCCCGGCUUAACUGGGAGGGUGCGCCGUAGACUGUGGGGCUAGAGUGUGGGAGAGGAAAGUGGAAUUCCUGGUGUAGCGGUGAAAUGCGUAGAUAUCAGGAGGAACACCCGGUGGUGUAAAACGGC